rnacentral:rRNA from 1 species
UAUAAUAUUCUGAAAGUCAAUCAAUGGUCAGGAAUAAUUUUCCAUGAUUGUACUGUUACCGUUGAAAUACUUAAGAAUAAUGAAACCAUUGCGUGUCCUACUCCCCUUUGUUAUGAGGACGGAGAUACCUAUUUGAAG